GCUCCCAGGCAUACUAUUGGGAGCUGGAGAAGCCAUAAGAAGAACCGAGAAACAAAGCACACCUAUAUUCCGUAGGCAGGGGAUGGAGAGGGAGCUUUAGAUGAUUCCAAAACUCGACAUGCAGACAUGUCGAGAAGGUGGAAAACCAACAAACAGAGGCAAGAACGAGGAAAAGAACAAGAGCUAGUACAUGCAGAACGCCGAUGGAACCAAGACG
rnacentral:lncRNA from 1 species